CGUGUAGGCGGCUUGGUAAGUCAGAUGUGAAAGCCCUGGGCUCAACCCAGGAAGUGCAUUUGAAACUACUAGACUUGAGUACGGGAGAGGAGGGGGGAAUUCCCGGUGUAGAGGUGAAAUUCGUAGAUAUCGGGAGGAAUACCGGUGGCGAAGGCGCCCCUCUGGACCGAUACUGACGCUGAGACGCGAAAGCGUGGGAAGCAAACA
rnacentral:rRNA from 1 species